rnacentral:Y_RNA from 1 species
GACUAGUCUGAAGGUAGUGAGUUACCUCAAUUGAUUGUUAGCAGUCAGUUACAGAUCAAACCCCUUGUUCUACUCUUUCCACCUUCUCACUCCCGCACUCACGACAACA